CCGCUGAAUUUAAGCAUAUCAAUAAGCGGAGGCAAAAGAUACUAAAAAGUAUUCCCUCAGUAACGGCGAGUGAAGAGGGAAGAGCCCAGCACCGAAUCCGCUGCCCCUGCCGGCAGAGGGACCUGUGGUGUAUGAGACGGCGGCUCUGGCACGAGUGUCGGGCAUCCGAGUUUCCUUGAUCGGUGCCCUGCCCAUGGCGGGUGUGUGGCCCUUACGCUGUUCGCCCGGCGCUCUGCCUUGCCUCGUCUCCGGAGUCGGGUUGUUUGGUAAUGCAGCCCAAAGUGGGUGGUAAGCUCCAUCUAAGGCUAAAUAUACGUGACCACGAGACCGAUAGUCGACAAGUACCGUAAGGGAAAGUUGAAAAGAACUUUGAAGAGAGAGUUC
rnacentral:rRNA from 1 species